ensembl:snRNA U4 U4 spliceosomal RNA
AACUUUGCACAGGGCAGUGUCACAACUAAUGAGGUUUAUCCAAAGUGCAAUUAUUGCUAAUUAAAAAUUUUUCCAAUGCCCCACCAUGACAGCUUAAAACAUACUCAGCAUUGACAAAUUUUUCUCAUUUGGAGAAAU